GGGAGUAUGCUUAUGGAAAGGAUGGACAACAGAUGUUCAGGAGGAAGCUCCUAAAAACAAAGAAAGGGGCAGAAGUAGUUUCUAGAGUGAAGACAAAGGCCACUUACAAUUAUGUGGCAAAUCUUCUAAAGGGGGCUGUGACAGUGUGUGAAAGCACAACAUACAGUGCCAUGGUAGCAUCCCACCAUAGUCCCGAGCCUGCGCCAAUGACUGCAGCUUACCCACGUGAAUCGAAAGAGGUCCUGAUUGCGAGAAGGAUGCUUCGCUUUCCAACAGAGUGAUCUCUCAUGAGGCCACCUGCAACUGCAGUCCUGACCUGGGAGCUGCUUUGGAUAGCCCGCUCUACCAAAACUCCGUCAAAGCCUCCAAAGAUGAAUGAAGGGAAGUACCAAUUACUUUGGAUAGGGUGUUAAAGGAGCACUAAAAUGCAAAAAACAAGUUAACUUUACUUUGCGUUACAUGCAG